GGCGGACGGGUGAGUAACACGUGGGCAACCUGCCUGUAAGACUGGGAUAACUUCGGGAAACCGGAGCUAAUACCGGAUAAUCCUUUUCCUCUCAUGAGGGAAAGCUGAAAGACGGUUUCGGCUGUCACUUACAGAUGGGCCCGCGGCGCAUUAGCUAGUUGGUGAGGUAACGGCUCACCAAGGCGACGAUGCGUAGCCGACCUGAGAGGGUGAUCGGCCACACUGGGACUGAGACACGGCCCAGACUCCUACGGGAGGCAGCAGUAGGGAAUCUUCCGCAAUGGACGAAAGUCUGACGGAGCAACGCCGCGUGAACGAUGAAGGCCUUCGGGUCGUAAAGUUCUGUUGUCAGGGAAGAACAAGUACCGGAGUAACUGCCGGUACCUUGACGGUACCUGACCAGAAAGCCACGGCUAACUACGUGCCAGCAGCCGCGGUAAUACGUAGGUGGCAAGCGUUGUCCGGAAUUAUUGGGCGUAAAGCGCGCGCAGGCGGUUCCUUAAGUCUGAUGUGAAAGCCCCCGGCUCAACCGGGGAGGGUCAUUGGAAACUGGGGAACUUGAGUGCAGAAGAGGAGAGCGGAAUUCCACGUGUAGCGGUGAAAUGCGUAGAGAUGUGGAGGAACACCAGUGGCGAAGGCGGCUCUCUGGUCUGUAACUGACGCUGAGGCGCGAAAGC
rnacentral:rRNA from 1 species